GCUCUCCUUUUGCCAGCACAUAUCCUAACAUUGGAACGACACAGAGAUUAGAAAAGCCCCUGCACCAGGAAAAAGCAAAUACAAAAGGGCUGUGGCCUUGUUUA